CGGCCUCCCCCGUGGGAGAGAGCGGAGGGGAGCGGGAGCCCUGCCACACGCUCCCCACUGGAGACAACGGGGCCCUAAUUAGUGCUGUGAUCCCCUGACGUGAGGGGGCAGCAGCUCGGUCACACACAUUGCACAGGAGGGGGCGGGUAUUGGGUCUGAUACUGCCGUGGGGCGGAGGGAGCAGCUCCGUUAAACACCCGCUUCCUGGCAGAGAAGGGCCUUCCACCUCCACAGGAUAAUUCAUGGCACCUGAAGCCUGGGUGCCUGAACCACCUUACUGUGGGGAAAGAGAGUCUAGGAUGAGCUAAUGGGAGACCUGCUUGAUUAAACAAAUUCCAGGUUCCAACUCAGCUACCAAAAGGAUAAGGAUAUUUGCAGGGAAGAAAGAGACACAGCAUGAGGAGAGACUGGCAGAGAGAGAGGCACGGGCAGCUCUCCUGACAAUGCUAUAAUCAGAGCUACAGGGACACCUCUACCAGAACCGCCAAAGAACCAGAAAUCUGCUCUGAGACCUUUAACAACAACAACAGAUGGAUGGAUGAAGCACUGUACACUUUGUCUUCUGUU